rnacentral:rRNA from 1 species
AUUGAACGCUGGCGGCAGGCCUAACACAUGCAAGUCGAGUGGAUGAGAGGAGCUUGCUCCUUGAUUUAGCGGCGGACGGGUGAGUAAUGCCUAGGAAUCUGCCUGGUAGUGGGGGAUAACGUUCCGAAAGGAACGCUAAUACCGCAUACGUCCUACGGGAGAAAGCAGGGGACCUUCGGGCCUUGCGCUAUCAGAUGAGCCUAGGUCGGAUUAGCUAGUUGGUGAGGUAAUGGCUCACCAAGGCGACGAUCCGUAACUGGUCUGAGAGGAUGAUCAGUCACACUGGAACUGAGACACGGUCCAGACUCCUACGGGAGGCAGCAGUGGGGAAUAUUGGACAAUGGGCGAAAGCCUGAUCCAGCCAUGCCGCGUGUGUGAAGAAGGUCUUCGGAUUGUAAAGCACUUUAAGUUGGGAGGAAGGGCAGUAAGUUAAUACCUUGCUGUUUUGACGUUACCGACAGAAUAAGCACCGGCUAACUUCGUGCCAGCCGCCGCUGUAAUAC